rnacentral:rRNA from 1 species
GUCCACGCCGUAAACGAUGGAUACUAGGUGUAGGAGGUAUCGACCCCUUCUGUGCCGCAGUUAACACAAUAAGUAUCCCACCUGGGGAGUACGGUCGCAAGAUUGAAACUCAAAGGAAUUGACGGGGGCCCGCACAAGCAGUGGAGUAUGUGGUUUAAUUCGAAGCAACGCGAAGAACCUUACCAGGACUUGACAUCCCACGCAUAGCCUAGAGAUAGGUGAAGUCCUACGGGACGUGGAGACAGGUGGUGCAUGGUUGUCGU